UAUGAACUUCACCGGACACCCAUCAUCCUAGGUAUGAACUUCACGGACACCCAUCAUCCUAGGUAUGAACUUCACCGGACACCCAUCAUCCUAGGUAUGAACUUCACCGGACACCCAUCAUCCUAGGUAUGAACUUCACCGGACACCCAUCAUCCU